rnacentral:lncRNA from 1 species
CCUUUGUGUGUGUGCUUUGUGUUUUUUAUUUUUAUUUUUUCCAUUACAUUGAUAUUUUUGAUAUUUUCGAUAUUAUAGCAACAUUUUGACAAAAUAUUGCUAAAGUGUGAGUGAAAUUAUCGACAUCGAUAUUUUUCCAUAUUAUCGUCAAUAUUAUCGAUAUUUAUACGAUAUGUGUAUAGAUACAUUCCGAAAUAUCCGUGACUCAAAAAAACGAUAAUAUCCUCGAUAUUUCGUUGAUAUUAUCGAUAUUUUAUACUAUGGUCUGAUUGUACCAUGGAUUAAUUAACUCAGGGUGUAUUAAUCAAUGCGCUCGCUCUCUCUCUCUCUCUCU